rnacentral:rRNA from 1 species
UAGGGAAUCUUCGGCAAUGGACGGAAGUCUGACCGAGCAACGCCGCGUGAGUGAAGAAGGUUUUCGGACCGUAAAGCUCUGUUGUAAGAGAAGAACGAGUGUGAGAGUGGAAAGUUCACACUGUGACGGUAUCCUACCAGAAAGGGACGGCUAACUACGUGCCAGCAGCCGCGGUAAUACGUAGGUCCCGAGCGUUGUCCGGAUUUAUUGGGCGUAAAGCGAGCGCAGGCGGUUAGAUAAGUCUGAAGUUAAAGGCUGUGGCUUAACCAUAGUAGGCUUUGGAAACUGUUUAACUUGAGUGCAAGAGGGGAGAGUGGAAUUCCAUGUGUAGCGGUGAAAUGCGUAGAUAUAUGGAGGAACACCGGUGGCGAAAGCGGCUCUCUGGCUUGUAACUGACGCUGAGGCUCGAAAGCGUGGGGAGCAAACAGGAUUAGAUACCCUGGUAGUCCACGCUGUAAACGAUGAGUGCUAGGUGUUAGACCCUUUCCGGGGUUUAGUGCCGUAGCUAACGCAUUAAGCACUCCGCCUGGGGAGUACGACCGCAAGGUUG